ACUUUCCCUAGAGACACUGCAGAUGUGGCUGCUGUGUCACCUGUGCAUCGGUAGGAGGCAGAGAGGAGAGAGGCUAUGUCUACACUCAGGGUUCUGCCCUGUGAGUCUCUGAAUGAUUGGCAGCCUAACACU
rnacentral:snoRNA from 7 species